ensembl:miRNA
CCCAUCCCGCCUGCCCAGUGUUCAGACUACCUGUUCAGGAAGUAG